UAUAUUUCAAUUUAUAUACAAAUUUUAGUGGGUUUAUUUGUUUUAUAAUUUAUUAAAUUAUUUAAAUAGUAAUUUAAGAAUUUUUUAAUGCUAUAUUGUUUUAAAAGUAGUAAUUAGUAUUAUACAAUGAAAGUAAUUUUGAUGUAGGAAUAUAUAAGAGUAUUGGCUAAAUUUGUGCCAGCAGCCGUGGUUAAACAGAUGAUGCAAUUAAAAUUGUUCAGUAAAUAGUAAAAAAAAUUAUUUAAAUUAAUUUAAAAUUAAAUUUAAUAAGUGGAAUUAGAAAUUUAAAUAAAAUUAAAUUUAUAAUAUUUAAAUCUUGUGAAAUUUUAUAAUUAAACUAGGAUUAGAUACCCUAUUAUAAAAAAUGUAAAUUUGUAAUGCUUGAGUAGUAGUAGUUAUGUGCUUGAAAAUCAAAAAAUCUGGCGGUAUUUUAGUCUAUUCAGAGGAACCUGUUCUAUAAUUGAUGAUCCACGAUUAAUUGUACUUAAUUUCUAUAAGUUUGUAUAUCGUCGUAGGUUGAAUGUGUUUAAAAAGAUAAAUGUUCAUAAGUUAGAAGUGUGGAGGAAAUCAGAUCAAGAUACAGCUAAUAAUUAAGAAGAAAUGGGUUACAAUAAAAUUAUUUAAUUAGGAUGGUUAUAGUAAUUAACAUUAUUAUAUAAAAUGGAUUUGAAAGUAAUAUUUUUAAUUUAAAAAGUAUGAUUUAAGCUCUAAAAUAUGUACAUAUCGCCCGUCGCUUCCAUUGAAAUUUAAAGUGGAAUAAGUCGUAACAUAGUAGGCGUACCGGAAGGUGUGCCUAGAUUGG
rnacentral:ncRNA from 1 species